AGUGGAACUGAUGGUUUGUAUGAUACCUCUAUGUUUAAUUUUUUGAGUAAUUGUCCAAUCUGUUUUCCAAAGCAGCUGCAUCAUUAACAUUCCCACCAACACU
rnacentral:pre_miRNA from 1 species